rnacentral:rRNA from 1 species
UACGUAGGGGGCUAGCGUUGUCCGGAAUCAUUGGGCGUAAAGCGCGUGUAGGCGGCUUAGUAAGUCUGCUCUGAAAGUCCGAGGCUCAACCUCGGACUUGCAGUGGGUACGGGCAGACUAGAGUGUGGUAGGGGAGACUGGAAUUCCUGGUGUAGCGGUGGAAUGCGCAGAUAUCAGGAGGAACACCGGUGGCGAAGGCGGUUCUCUGGGCCUUACCUGACGCUGAGGAGCGAAAGCGUGGGGAGCAAACAGG